rnacentral:ncRNA from 2 species
CAUAUGACUACUCGGGACGGUCCUUCGCAAGAAGUGAAAAGGGAACGCGGCGCGGACUUGUGUCCGUAUCCGCGGCUGCCCCCGCAACUGUAGCCGGCGAGGCCCGCGCCAUCCGCCACUGAGCCUUAACGCUUGGGAAGGCGGCGCGGUCCGACGAGCCGGAAGCCAGGAGACCUGCCGUCAGGGCGAUUGUUUU